UACGGAGGGAGCAAGCGUUACUCGGAAUUAUUGGGCGUAAAGGGCGCGUAGGCGAUUUGAAAAGUCUUGUGUGAAAGCCCCGAGCUUAACUCGGAAGUGCACAAGAAACUGUUGAAUUUGAGUUCCGGAGAGGAAGGCAGAAUUCCCGGUGUAGCGGUGAAAUGCGUAGAUAGUCGGAGGAAUACCAGUGGCGAAGGCGGACCUUCGU
rnacentral:rRNA from 1 species